rnacentral:misc_RNA from 1 species
AAGUCGUAACAAGGUUUUAAUGAAUUCCUUUCAUAUAAGAAAAAUAUAUUUAUUUAUUUAUUUAUUUUUUAAUUAUUGUUUAAAUUGAAAAUAAUCCAUUAAAUGGAUUGCUACAUUUGUGCGCGCGUGGUAUCAUGAAUAUUAAUCGAACUUGAAAUUGCGAUAUCUAAUC